UACAUGAGACACUGGAACUGCUCAAUUCAAGACAAAGAAGAAAGGAAGAGGCAAAGUCAAUGAACAUUCAUGAACAUAUCCAGUCCCAGAGGUGGACUGUUCCAAACCCCUGUUUGGA